AGUCUAUUCAGAGGAACCUGUCCUAUAAUCGAUAAUCCACGAUUUUAUUUACUUAUUUUUUUAAUUUACAUAUCGCCGUAGAUUGAAUAUUUUCAUAGAAUUUAGUAAUAUUCAAGAUUUUAGUAAAAAAAGAAUUCAGGUCAAGGUGUAGUUUAUAGAUAAGAAGAGAUGGGUUACAAUAAAUUUAUUUAUACAGUUAGAUUUUUUUAAAAUUUUUAUAAGGCGGAUUUGAAGGUAAUUUUAAAUAUAUAUUUAAAAUGAUUUUAGCUCUAAAAUAUGUACAUAUCGCCCGUCGCUUUCACUCCAAGGUGAAAUAAGUCGUAACAAAGUAGGUGUACCGGAAGGUGCCCCUAGAGAAGU
rnacentral:rRNA from 1 species